AUGACGGAGAGUUUGAUCCUGGCUCAGAACGAACGCUGGCGGCGCGUUUUAAGCAUGCAAGUCGAGCGAAUGGCCAC
rnacentral:rRNA from 1 species